GGGGACGUGGCCAAGCCCGGGAUGGCGACUGACUCCAGAGGCCACGCGCCCGGUGACGAACUCCAGACUGAUAUACCGAGUCGGCGACUGAUCAUCGCCGGCGACGACGACCCUCUGGAGGACCGAGGCGCACCGGAGAUAUCAGUCGAUCGGGGGUUCAAAUCCCUCCGUCCCCA
rfam:Halolamina pelagica strain CDK2 SY89_scf01, whole genome shotgun sequence.